rnacentral:lncRNA from 1 species
CAAAGCUACACCUAGUGUGACACACAGUCUCCUUCUGCUCCCUGUGGAUCAAGUUGUAGAGCUCUCAGCUCUUUCGCCAGCCCCAUGUCUGCCUGCACGCUGCCAUGUUUCCUGCCGUGAGGAUAACGGAUGAACCUCUGAUCCUAGUUUUAGAAAGAUUUUAUUUUAUUUUGUUCCUCAAAUCUGGAACAAUCAUGGCAUAACAAAGGAGUAAGUUCACAAGUUAAAUAAAAUCUUCAAGGUUAAACAAAAUUGGAAAGAACUAACAUUAAUAUCUCUAAAAAUAGGUUAUCAAGCUUUUACUUUUGUAUCAAACAUGAAAAUCCAAUGAGAUAUAAUCUGAGACAUAUUCCAUUCUAUUUGUUUUAUCAGACAAAACCUCCAGUUAUUUUUAAGAAUCACUUUCUGAAAGUCUUCUUAAAUCCAUUAGUUAUGCUAAUAUUCCAAACACUGCCUACAGUCACAGCUGGAACUGAGGACAGCUGUUCUGAGAACACUAAGGAACGAUCAGGUAGGUGUUAUGAAGUAGGGACCGUCAGUCCACCUAUAGCUACAGGAGGACACAGGAGGAGUAUUCAGACUCAUGUCACUCAGACUCUGUCACAGUCUUUGGAGUAAAAAGUGUCCUAAUGGCAGGCUAUAUGUCAGCCAAGUUGGGUAAAGGUUGGUAAAAGAUGUCAUUAGCCAUAGUACCAUUUUCUUAUAAUACUCUUACCAUAAUAAAAUACAGAAUAUUAAUGACCAGGAGAUGCUGCUACUGAACUGAAGAUGACUGUGCAUAUCAUAUUAUUUGGUGGUUUUAAUUCCUAGUGUGCAGUGAAGAAUGGAAAUGGAGAUUGCUGGCAAAGGAGACUUCCCGGGAAGCAGAAUUCUCUUUUGUCUACCUGCAGAGGCCAUCACAGACCUGCCAUUCAUUGACUGCCCAGAUCAUUCUCCCGCUAGCGCAGAGGUGGGAGGGGACAGCUUGAGGACAGAAUCGGAAGGGCUGGAGGAUAUUUAUUCUGCCCUUACAGUCAGCUCACUGGACUAGUAAAUGCCAGGUAACUCUUUCUCGUUUACUUUGUUUAUUAAUUCAUUUUUAAAAAGUACUGGCUAUCUAUUAUGUCGCAGACAUGGUUGCUGAUGUUGGUGAUAAACUGUGAAUGAGACAGAGGUGUUAAUGAGAAGUACCACUGGGUUUGACACACCCUGCUGCGAAUCUGGUGGACUCACAUCGGUAAGAUGUAUGAGGGUCUGAGAAAGGGCUGACAGUCAAAUAGUGUAUCCUCAUUCUCCAAGCCCAGAAUCCAGAGCCCCAGAACAGGGCAGUGAAACAGAGAAUGAAAGGGACAUGGAUGGUGUCUCCUCUGCCUUACUGAGGCCAACAUUCCAUGGCCACUUCCUUUCUGAGACUGCUCAGGGCGAAGAAGUGCUAUCCUGGCCUUUCUUGCCACUGCUUGAGAAAACAGCAUAGACCAUGGCAUAGUGGGAGAUAUAGCCACAAUCUUGACAGAUUCCAUGCAACUGUGAAUAAUCCUCCUUAGCAGAUGCCACAGACCCACAACUCCCAUUAGCAUGGACACAGAAUGACCAGUCCACCUCCUCUGGGCAGGGCUUAGGACUAUCCUAAAGCUCAGAAUGGGUGAAGCAGAGGGGAGAGAGACCUCAGGCACAGGACAGUGAAGUCCAAAGGCAUGACAGGAACAGAGCCACACAAGCUGGGUAGCAGAAGUCUAGACAGAAUGAGCAAUAGUGGGUGGGGGUGGGGGUGGAGAUAAAAACACAUUUAGUUAUCAUGGAAACCAAAACCACGGCACAGGCAUGUCUCCAUGCUGGCUUACUGCAAUGGGCUGUGCGCUCCACAGGAAGAUGAGUGAGCGGAUGGGUUAGGGUCAUGGGUGCGGAAAGCCCGAGUAAGAGCUCACAGACAGGGAGCACUCACAGCCAACAGAACCACUAGCAACAUCUGCUCCCUGCCUUUGUUACAAGAAAUGUGUCUUGCCAAUAAAGCUGGUUAUUAGCAGAGGGAGUUCUAACAGCUGACUUGUGAAGCAAAAAGAGCCAGCUGUCCUGGCCUCCAGGACUCAGGGAUAACUUCCUAUGUCAAGUUCCCGGGUCCUGAUUGAUAUCAAAAAGCCAGAGAGUCUUGGUUGGUGGGUCCACUGGAGGUAUCUCAGAGACGUUGGACUGAGACGGAGGCGGGAACCAGUAACCACAGCCUGAUGACAUCAUCAUCAUCAUCAACAACAACAAAUAUCAACUCGGAGGACGGUCAGAAUGAGCAGCGGAAGCCACUCCCCCACCCUGCAGCUUCAGAGAUAUAUUACAAAAAAAAGAGUGGAAUUAGGGAGCCUCUUCCUGGCUGCCCAGGAAGACAGUCUCCUGCUGCUUUUGGAUCAAGAUGUAGAACUCUCAGCUCCUCCUACACCAUGCCUGACUGCACACUGCCAAGCUCCCUGCCAUGAUAAAGGACUGAACCUCUGAACCUGUAAGCCAGCCUCAACGAAAUGCUUUCCUUUAUACAGUUGCCUUGGUUGGGGUGUCUCUUC